rnacentral:rRNA from 1 species
AACGAACGCUGGCGGCAGGCCUAACACAUGCAAGUCGAGCGAGAACUUCGGUUCUAGCGGCGGACGGGUUAGUAACGCGUGGGAAUAUGCCCUUCACUACGGAAUAGUCCCGGGAAACUGGGUUUAAUACCGUAUACGCCCUUCGGGGGAAAGAUUUAUCGGUGAAGGAUUAGCCCGCGUUGGAUUAGGUAGUUGGUGGGGUAAUGGCCUACCAAGCCGACGAUCCAUAGCUGGUUUGAGAGGAUGAUCAGCAACACUGGGACUGAGACACGGCCCAGACUCCUACGGGAGGCAGCAGUGGGGAAUCUUGGACAAUGGGCGCAAGCCUGAUCCAGCCAUGCCGCGUGAGUGAAGAAGGCCUUAGGGUUGUAAAGCUCUUUUGCCAGGGACGAUAAUGACGGUACCUGGAGAAUAAGCCCCGGCAAACUUCGUGCCAGCCGCCGCCGUAACAC